rnacentral:tRNA from 1 species
GGCUUAGCUCAGUUGGCCAGAGCAGUUGACUUGUAAUCAGCAGGUCGUGGGUUCGAAUCCCACAGCC